GGUAACGGCUCACCCAGGCGGCCGAUCCGUAACUGGUUUGGCGGGAUGAUCAGUCCCCCUGGAACUGAGACACGGUCCAGACUCCUACGGGAGGCAGCAGUGGGGAAUAUUGCACAAUGGGCGCAAGCCUGAUGCAGCCAUGCCGCGUGUAUGAAGAAGGCCUUCGGGUUGUAAAGUACUUUCAGCGGGGAGGAAGGUGCUGUAGGUUAAUAACCUCGGCAAUUUUGACGUUACCCGCAGAAGAAGCACCGGCUAACUCCGUGCCAGCAGCCGCGGUAAUACGGAGGGUGCAAGCGUUAAUCGGAAUUACUGGGCGUAAAGCGCACGCAGGCGGUCUGUCAAGUCGGAUGUGAAAUCCCCGGGCUCAACCUGGGAACUGCAUUCGAAACUGGCAGGCUAGAGUCUUGUAGAGGGGGGUAGAAUUCCAGGUGUAGCGGUGAAAUGCGUAGAGAUCUGGGAGGAAAACCGGUGGCGAAGGCGCCCCCCUGGACAAAAACUGACCCUAAGGUGCGAAAGCGUGGGGAGCAAACAGGAUUAGAUACCCUGGUAGUCCACGCCGUAAACGAUGUCAACUUGGCGGUUGGGACCCUUGAGCCCUUGGCUCGCGAAGCUAACGCUUUAAGUGGACCGCCUGGGGAGUACGGCCGCAAGGUUAAAACUCAAAUGAAUUGACGGGGGCCCGCACAAGCGGUGGAGCAUGUGGUUUAAUUGGAGGCAACGCGAAGAACCUUACCGGCCCUUGACAUCCAUGGAACUUUCCAGAGAUGGAUUGGUGCCUUCGGGAACUUUGAGACAGGUGCUGCAUGGCUGUCGUCAGCUCGUGUGGUGAAAUGUUGGGUUAAGUCCCGAAACGAGCGCAACCCUUUUCCUUGGUUCCCAGCAGGUAAGGUGGGGAACUCAAAGGAGACUGCCGGUGAAAAACGGGAGGAAAGGUGGGGGAUGACGUCAAGUCAUCUGGGCCCUUACGCCUGGGGCUACACACUUGCUACAAUGGUCGCUUACAAAGGGUGCCCAACCUCCCGAGUGGAACCAAACCCCAUAAAACGGUUCUUAUUCCCGAAUGGCAGC
rnacentral:rRNA from 1 species